UCCUGGCUUAGGAUGAACGCUAGCUACAGGCUUAACACAUGCAAGUCGAGGGGCAUCAUGGAGUUUGCUUGCAAACUCUGAUGGCGACCGGCGCACGGGUGAGUAACGCGUAUCCAACCUUCCCUAUAGUAGAGGAUAGCCCGGCGAAAGUCGGAUUAAUACUCUAUGUUUUCCGUUGCAGACAUCUAAGAUGGAACAAAGGCUUGCCGCUAUAGGAUGGGGAUGCGUCUGAUUAGGGUAGUCGGCGGGGUAACGGCCCACCGAGCCAUCGAUCAGUAGGGGUUCUGAGAGGAAGGUCCCCCACAUUGGAACUGAGACACGGUCCAAACUCCUACGGGAGGCAGCAGUGAGGAAUAUUGGUCAAUGGGCGAGAGCCUGAACCAGCCAAGUAGCGUGCAGGAUGACGGCCCUAUGGGUUGUAAACUGCUUUUAUGCGGGGAUAAAGUUCACUACGUGUAGUGUUUUGUAGGUACCGCAUGAAUAAGGACCGGCUAAUUCCGUGCCAGCCGCUGC
rnacentral:rRNA from 1 species